rnacentral:rRNA from 1 species
GAGACAGCAGUCCCGCGGUAAUACGUAGGUGGCAAGCGUUGUCCGGAAUUAUUGGGCGUAAAGGGCUCGCAGGCGGUUUCUUAAGUCUGAUGUGAAAGCCCCCGGCUCAACCGGGGAGGGUCAUUGGAAACUGGGAAACUUGAGUGCAGAAGAGGAGAGUGGAAUUCCACGUGUAGCGGUGAAAUGCGUAGAGAUGUGGAGGAACACCAGUGGCGAAGGCGACCCUCUGGUCUGUAACUGACGCUGAGGAGCGAAAGCGUGGGGAGCGAACAGGAUUAGAUACCCCAGUAGUCCCUGUCUCUUAUACA